rnacentral:rRNA from 1 species
GCAAGUCGAACGGCAGCGCGGGGAGCUUGCUCCCUGGCGGCGAGUGGCGGACGGGUGAGUAACGCGUAGGAAUCUGCCCAGUAGUGGGGGACAACCUCGGGAAACCGAGGCUAAUACCGCAUACGCCCUACGGGGGAAAGCGGGGGAUCUUCGGACCUCGCGCUAUUGGAUGAGCCUACGUCCGAUUAGCUUGUUGGUAGGGUAAAAGCCUACCAAGGCGACGAUCGGUAGCUGGUCUGAGAGGACGAUC